rnacentral:rRNA from 1 species
GACGAACGCUGGCGGCGUGCUUAACACAUGCAAGUCGAACGGAAAGGCCCCUUCGGGGGUACUCGAGUGGCGAACGGGUGAGUAACACGUGAGUAACCUGCCCUUGACUUCGGGAUAACUUCAGGAAACUGGGGCUAAUACCGGAUAGGAAUCCUUGCUGCAUGGUGGGGGUUGGAAAGCUUCGGCGGUUUUGGAUGGACUCGCGGCUUAUCAGCUUGUUGGUGGGGUAGUGGCUUACCAAGGCUUUGACGGGUAGCCGGCCUGAGAGGGCGACCGGCCACAUUGGGACUGAGAUACGGCCCAGACUCCUACGGGAGGCAGCAGUGGGGAAUAUUGCACAAUGGGCGGAAGCCUGAUGCAGCAACGCCGCGUGCGGGAUGACGGCCUUCGGGUUGUAAACCGCUUUCAGCAGGGGCGAAGCUUGUGGUGACGGUACCUGCAGAAGAAGCACCGGCUAACUACGU